GGAUUCCACGUCUUAUCUUUUUCCUUGGCAACCAUGGCUUUCGAUUGUUACUAGGGUAACCCGAGGUAACAGUUUACAGUUCAUGGUCGCCCCGCAGCACAUCCACGUGUCGCGACGCU
rnacentral:precursor_RNA from 14 species